rnacentral:rRNA from 1 species
AUUGAACGCUGGCGGCAUGCUUUACACAUGCAAGUCGAACGGCAGCGCGGGCUUCGGCCUGGCGGCGAGUGGCGAACGGGUGAGUAAUACAUAGGAACGUGCCCAGUAGUGGGGGAUAGCUCGGCGAAAGCCGGGUUAAUACCGCAUACGACCUGAGGGUGAAAGCGGGGGAUCUUCGGACCUCGCGCUAUUGGAGCGGCCGAUGGCGGAUUAGCUAGUUGGUGGGGUAAAGGCCUACCAAGGCGACGAUCUGUAGCUGGUCUGAGAGGACGACCAGCCACACUGGAACUGAGACACGGCCCAGACUCCUACGGGAGGCAGCAGUGGGGAAUUUUGGACAAUGGGCGAAAGCCUGAUCCAGCAAUGCCGCGUGUGUGAUGAAGGCCUUCGGGUUGUAAAGCACUUUUGGCGGGAACGAAAAGGACUGUGCCAAUACCACGGUUCGAUGACGGUACCCGCAGAAUAAGCACCGGCUAACUACGUG